UACCUACGGGGGGCAGCAGUGGGGAAUAUUGCACAAUGGGGGAAACCCUGAUGCAGCGACGCCGCGUGAAGGAAGAAGUAUUUCGGUAUGUAAACUUCUAUCAGCAGGGAAGAAAGUGACGGUACCUGACUAAGAAGCCCCGGCUAACUACGUGCCAGCAGCCGCGGUAAUACGUAGGAUCCGAGCGUUAUCCGGAUUCAUUGGGUUUAAAGGGUGCGUAGGUUGUUUUAUAAGUUAGCGGUGAAAUACCGAUGCUCAACAUCGGGGCUGCCGCUAAUACUGUAGGACUAGAGAUCGGAUGCAGG
rnacentral:rRNA from 1 species